rnacentral:rRNA from 1 species
GAUUAACGCUGGCGGCGUGCCUAACACAUGCAAGUCGAGCGGCAGCGAGUUUUACACUGAAUUCUGGAAGCUUCUAGUUGAAAGAGAAGAUUUAUUCAAGAAUUUUGUGUAAAAUGUCGGCGAGCGGCGGACGGCUGAGUAACGCGUGGGAACGUACCCCAAAUUGAGGGAUAACGCAUCGAAAGGUGUGCUAAUACCGCAUAUGGUCUUCGGAUUAAAGCCUUCGGGCGCUUUGUGAACGGCCUGCGUAAGAUUAGAUAGUUGGUGGGGUAAUGGCCUACCAAGUCGACGAUCGUUAGCUGGUUUGAGAGGAUGAUCAGUCAGACUGGAACUGAGACACGGUCCAGACUCCUACGGGAAGCAGCAGUGAGGAAUCUUCCACAAUGGGCGAAAGCCUGAUGGAGCAACGCCGCGUGCAGGAUGAAGGCCUUCGGGUUGUAAACUGCUUUUAUAAGUGAGGAUUAUGACAGUAACUGAUGAAUAAGGAUCGGCUAACUACGUG